UACGUAGGGUGCAAGCGUUGUCCGGAAUUAUUGGGCGUAAAGAGCUCGUAGGCGGUUUGUCGCGUCGGCUGUGAAAACUCGGGGCUCAACCCCGAGCCUGCAGUCGAUACGGGCAGACUAGAGUGCGGUAGGGGAGACUGGAAUUCCUGGUGUAGCGGUGAAAUGCGCAGAUAUCAGGAGGAACACCGAUGGCGAAGGCAGGUCUCUGGGCCACUACUGACGCUGAGAAGCGAAAGCAUGGGGAGCGAACAGG
rnacentral:rRNA from 1 species